rnacentral:lncRNA from 1 species
CUGUGCUGCUGCUCAGUAAUGCCUCAAGGAGAAGAGGAAAGUCUUGGCCUCCCUGCUCUGUGUGGAGUAUAAAUUUUGCUCUCCUUCACAGAUGCAUGGAGGGACUUCUGGGAGGUUCCUCUGGCCCCAAGAGCUGGAUUUGGGCUUGGUAUGCUGUCUCAAGGUUGUCCUGGGACAGUGAGGAUCACCAAGGAAGGGCCUUAUCACUGCACCUUGCUGCAGCAGACUCAGCUGUGUGUGAAAUGCCCUGGGAAAGCUCAGUCUCCGGAGGCAAAGCCAAGGACUUGCCAUGACUCAGGACAAAAGAGGACUUGGACAUCAUGAGCCAGCAGGGGGAGACUGGUUUCCAGGGGAGCUUCAGAAGCCGAGCCAUGUGGAGAUUAAUAUCUGAGACCUUUCUGGGAGAGGGAUCAGAGUGCCAGCUGACUCUUGCUGGCCAUGUGAUCUUGGAUAUCUGACAGACUUUCCAAGCCUCAGUUGACUUAUUUGUGAAAUAAGGAUAGUGAGAGUACCUAUCAAACAGAAUGCUGUACACGAGAAUAAAUGUGUAAAUGACUU